UCAAACUUGGUCAUUUAGAGGAAGUAAAAGUCGUAACAAGGUUUCCGUAGGUGAACCUGCGGAAGGAUCAUUAACGAAUAGUAUGAACUUGGCUGAUGCUGGCUCUCUCUGGGAGCAUGUGCACGCUUUGUUCAAACCUUUCAUUCUUUAACCUCCUGUGCACUUUUGUGGAUUGCGGAUUGGAAAUCUUUUAUUUUCAAAGUAACAUUUGGUCUUGGGAAUUGUGUCUUUGUGAUACUGUUCCCUAUCUAAGUUUCUGUCCGCAAUUCAUGUCUUUUUCUAUAAACCAUGUAAUACAAUCUAGAAUGCUUUGACGAGUUGGCACUUUAUUGUACCACUCUUAAAUCUUAUACAACUUUCAACAACGGAUCUCUUGGCUCUCGCAUCGAUGAAGAACGCAGC
rnacentral:misc_RNA from 1 species